CCCAGACUCCUACGGGAGGCAGCAGUGGGGAAUAUUGCACAAUGGGGGAAACCCUGAUGCAGCAACGCCGCGUGAGUGAAGAAGUCAUUCGUGAUGUAAAGCUCUCUCAGCAGGGAAGAAAAUGACGGUACCUGAGUAAGAAGCCCCGGCUAACUACGUGCCAGCAGCCGCGGUAAUACGUAGGGGGCAAGCGUUAUCCGGAUUUACUGGGUGUAAAGGGAGCGUAGACGGCCAGACAAGUCUGGAGUGAAAGCCCGGGGCCCAACCCCGGGACUGCUCUGGGAACUGUGCGGCUGGAGUGCGGGAGGGGCAGGCGGAAUUCCUGGUGUAGCGGUGAAAUGCGUAGAUAUCAGGAGGAACACCAGUGGCGAAGGCGGCCUGCUGGACGAUAACUGACGUUGAGGCUCGAAAGCGUGGGGAGCAAACAGGAUUAGAUACCCCGGUAGAC
rnacentral:rRNA from 1 species